GGGCAGGCAAAAUAGACUUUAAAACAAAAACUGUAAUAAGACCAGGUCAUUACAUAAUGAUAAAGAAGUUAAUAUAAGAGGAUAAACAUUUGUAAGUAUUUAUGCACGCAACACAUUAUAUUUGAAGCACCAAAAUAUGUAGAGCGAAUAUUAACAGAACUAAAGAGAGAAAUAACACUACAUUGAUAACAGAGGACUUUAAAGAUAAAUCAUCCAGAUAGAUCAGUGGUUCUCAACCUUCCUAACGCUGCGACCCUUCAAUACAGUUCCUCGUGUUGUGGUGACCCCCAACCAUAAAAUUAUUUUCAUUGCUACUUCAUAACUGUAAUUUUGCUACUGUUAUGAAUCGUAAUGUAAAUAUCUGAUAUGCAGGAUGUAUUUUCAUUGUUACAAGUUGAACAUAAUUAAAGCAUAGUGAUUAAUCACAAAAACAAUAUGUAAUUAUAUGUGUGUUUUCCAAUGGUCUUAGGAGACCCCUGUGAAAGGGUCAUUCGACCCCCAAAGGGGUCACGACCCACAGGUUGAGAACUGCUGAGAUAGAUAAUCAGGAAGGAAACAUUGGCCUUAAACAACACAUUAGACCAAAUGGACUUAAGAGAUAUAUACUUAACAUUCCCCCCAAAAGCAACAGAAUACAUAUUCUUCUCAAGUAUAUAUGGGACAUUGUCCAGGAUAUAUCUUAUGUCAGUCCACAAAACAAGUCUUAAUAAGUUUAAGAAGACUGAAAUAUCAAACAUCUCUUCUGACCACAAGGAUAUGAAACUAGCAAUGAGUUACAAGAAGAAAACUGGAAAAUUCACAAAUAUAUGGAGAUUAAACAGUAUGCUACUGUACUACAAAUGGGUCAAAUAAGAAAUCAAAAGAAAUACAAUAUCUUGAGCCCAGCCAGUAUUUCCAGUGGUUAGAGAUCAGCCAAAACACCCAAAGGUCACAGGUUCACUCCCUGCCUGGUCGGAGCGAAUGCAUAAGGCCACCAAUGGAUGUGUUUCUCUCACAUCAAUGUUUCUCUCUCUCCCCCUUCCUCCCUCCCUUCCACUCUCUCUGAAAAGCAAUGGAAAAAAUAUCCUCAAGUGAGGAUUAUUAGCAACACAUCAAGAAUACCUUGAGGCAAAUGAAAAUGGAAACACAAUAUACCAAAACUUAUGAGACUCAGCAAAAGCAGUUCUAAGAGGGAAUUUCAUAGCAAUAAAUGGCUACAUCAAGAAACAAGAGAAAUCUCAAUCUAACUUUACACCUCCAGGAAUUAGAAAAAGAACAAAUGAAGCCCCAAAUUGGUAGAGGUAAGGAAAUAAAGGUAAGAGCAGAAAUAAAUGAAAUGGAGACUAAAAUGGCAAUAGAAAAGAUUGAUGAAAUCAAGAGCUGGUAUUUGAAAAUAUUUUUUUUUAAAUGACAAACCUUUCGUUAGACUCGCAAAAAAAAAAAAAAAAAAAAAAAAGGAUGGCCACAAAUAUAA